GAUGAACGCUGGCGGCGUGCCUAAUACAUGCAAGUCGAGCGAACAGACGAGGAGCUUGCUCCUCUGACGUUAGCGGCGGACGGGGGAGUAAAACGUGGAUAACCUACCUAUAAAACUGGGAUAACUUCGGGAAACCGGAGCUAAUACCGGAUAAUAUAUUGAACCGCAGGGUUCAAUAGUGAAAGACGGUUUUGCUGUCACUUAUAGAUGGAUCCGCGCCGCAUUAGCUAGUUGGUAAGGUAACGGCUUACCAAGGCAACGAUGCGUAGCCGACCUGAGAGGGUGAUCGGCCACACUGGAACUGAGACACGGUCCAGACUCCUACGGGAGGCAGCAGUAGGGAAUCUUCCGCAAUGGGCGAAAGCCUGACGGAGCAACGCCGCGUGAGUGAUGAAGGUCUUCGGAUCGUAAAACUCUGUUAUUAGGGAAGAACAAAUGUGUAAGUAACUAUGCACGUCUUGACGGUACCUAAUCAGAAAGCCACGGCUAACUACGUG
rnacentral:rRNA from 1 species